rnacentral:rRNA from 1 species
GACGAACGCUGGCGGCGUGCUUAACACAUGCCAGUCGAACGGAAAGGCCCUGCUUUUGUGGGGUGCUCGAGUGGCGAACGGGUGAGUAACACGUGAGUAACCUGCCCUUGACUUUGGGAUAACUUCAGGAAACUGGGGCUAAUCUCGGAUAGGAGCUCCUGCUGCAUGGUGGGGGUUGGAAAGUUUCGGCGGUUGGGGAUGGACUCGCGGCUUAUCAGCUUGUUGGUGGGGUAGUGGCUUACCAAGGCUUUGACGGGUAGCCGGCCUGAGAGGGUGACCGGCCACAUUGGGACUGAGAUACGGCCCAGACUCCUACGGGAGGCAGCAGUGGGGAAUAUUGCACAAUGGGCGGAAGCCUGAUGCAGCAACGCCGCGUGCGGGAUGACGGCCUUCGGGUUGUAAACCGCUUUCGCCUGUGACGAAGCGUGAGUGACGGUAAUGGGUAAAGAAGCACCGGCUAACUACGUG